rnacentral:rRNA from 1 species
AUUGAACGCUGGCGGCAGGCCUAACACAUGCAAGUCGAGCGGAUGAAGGGAGCUUGCUCCUGGAUUCAGCGGCGGACGGGUGAGUAAUGCCUAGGAAUCUGCCUGGUAGUUGGGGAUAACGUCCGGACACGGGCGCUAAUACCGCAUACGUCCUGAGGGAGAAAGUGGGGGAUCUUCGGACCUCACGCUAUCAGAUGAGCCUAGGUCGGAUUAGCUAGUUGGUGGGGUAAAGGCCUACCAAGGCGACGAUCCGUAACUGGUCUGAGAGGAUGAUCAGUCACACUGGAACUGAGACACGGUCCAGACUCCUACGGGAGGCAGCAGUGGGGAAUAUUGGACAAUGGGCGAAAGCCUGAUCCAGCCAUGCCGCGUGUGUGAAGAAGGUCUUCGGAUUGUAAAGCACUUUUAGUUGGGAGGAAGGGCAGUAAGUUAAUACCUUGCUGUUUUGACGGUACCAACAGAAUAAGCACCGGCUAACUUCGUG